AACGUAGGGGACAAGCGUUUAUCCGGAUUUACUGGGCGUAAAGCGCCCCGUAGGCGGCCUGACAAGUUGGACGUGAAAGCUCCUGGCUUAACUGGGAGAGGCCGUUCAAAACUGUCAAGCUAGAGUCUGGAAGAGGAGAGCGGAAUUCCCGGUGUAGUGGUGGAAUGCGUAGAGAUCGGGAGGAACACCAGUGGCGAAAGCGGGCUCUCUGGUCCAAAACUGACGCUGAGGGGCGAAAGCGUGGGGAGCGAACGGGG
rnacentral:rRNA from 1 species